GGCCGAGUGGCGGAACGGCAGACGCUGGGGACUUAAAAUCCCCUGCCCGUAAUGGGCAUGUGGGUUCGACUCCCACCUCGGCUA
rnacentral:tRNA from 1 species